AUUGAACGCUGGCGGCAGGCCUAACACAUGCAAGUCGAACGGUAACAGGAAGAAGCUUGCUUCUUUGCUGACGAGUGGCGGACGGGUGAGUAAUGUCUGGGAAACUGCCUGAUGGAGGGGGAUAACUACUGGAAACGGUAGUUAAUACCGCAUAACGUCGCAAGACCAAAAAGGGGGACCUUCGGGCCUCUUGCCAUCGGAUGUGCCCAGAUGGGAUUAGCUAGUAGGUGGGGUAACGGCUCACCUAGGCGACGAUCCCUAGCUGGUCUGAGAGGAUGACCAGCCACACUGGAACUGAGACACGGUCCAGACUCCUACGGGAGGCAGCAGUGGGGAAUAUUGCACAAUGGGCGCAAGCCUGAUGCAGCCAUGCCGCGUGUAUGAAGAAGGCCUUCGGGUUGUAAAGUACUUUCAGCGGGGAGGAAGGGAGUAAAGUUAAUACCUUUGCUCAUUGACGUUACCCGCAGAAGAAGCACCGGCUAACUCCGUG
rnacentral:rRNA from 1 species